UAACGCGUGCGGCGGCCUACAUAUACAAGUGAGCGGAUACGGGAGCUUGCUCCUUGAUUCAGCGGGGUGAGUAUGCCUAGGAAUCUGCCUGGUAGUGGGGGACAACGUUUCGAAAGGAACGCUAAUACCGCAUACGUCCUACGGGAGAAAGCAGGUGACCUUCGGGCCUUGCGCUAUCAGAUGAGCCUAGGUCGGAUUAGCUAGUUGGUGAGGUAAUGGCUCACCAACGCGACGAUCCGUAACUGGUCUGAGAGGAUGAUCAGUCACACUGGAACUGAGACACGGUCCAGACUCCUACGGGAGGCAGCAGUGGGGAAUAUUGGACAAUGGGCGAAAGCCUGAUCCAGCCAUGCCGCGUGUGUGAAGAAGGUCUUCGAAUUGUAAAGCACUUUAGUUGGGAGAAGGCGUAGUAAUACUUGUGUUUGACGUUCCGACAGAUAAGCCCGGCUACUCUGUGCGCAGCGCAGGUAUACAAGGGUGAGCGUAAUCGGAAUACUGGGCGUAAGAGUCGUAGUGGUCCGGAGUUGGUGUAA
rnacentral:rRNA from 1 species